UGGCCCAGUAGGCCAUCACUG
rnacentral:misc_RNA from 1 species